rnacentral:rRNA from 1 species
GAUGAACGCUGGCGGCGUGCCUAAUACAUGCAAGUCGAGCGAACAGACGAGGAGCUUGCUCCUCUGACGUUAGCGGCGGACGGGUGAGUAACACGUGGAUAACCUACCUAUAAGACUGGGAUAACUUCGGGAAACCGGAGCUAAUACCGGAUAACAUGUUGAACCGCAUGGUUCAACAGUGAAAGACGGUUUUGCUGUCACUUAUAGAUGGAUCCGCGUCGCAUUAACUAGUUGGUAAGGUAACGGCUUACCAAGGCAACGAUGCGUAGCCGACCUGAGAGGGGGGUCGGAAAAAGUGGAACUGAGACACGGUCCAGACUCCUACGGGAGGCGGCAGUAGGGAAUAGUACGCAAUGGGCGAAAGCCUGACGGAGCAAAGCGGCGAGAGUGAUGAAGGUAUUAGGAUCGUAAAACUCUGUAAUUAGGGAAGAAAAAAUGUGUAAGUAACUAUGCACGUCUUGACGGUACCUAAUCAGAAAGCCACGGCUAACUACGUG